CACAGCAGCAGCACAGCCGUGAAUGCAUACACAAGGAAACAGAGAGGAAUGAGACCUGGGAUUACAUCUCUGAUGCGAUGAGCUGCAGCACAACCUAGAAGGAUUCAUCCAUUGCCCAACAAAGGUCACCUUCUGCUCACUAGGACAUCAAACCUCACAGCAUCCUCAUACGAUGAGAACCUUUUGCUGGAUCCCCGCUUGGGAGCAAGUUCUUGCUGAUUGAGAAGCUCAUGAGAUACAUCUCAUUUCCCUGGAGGUCCUCAGGGAGGCAGCGGUCAGACAAUCCUUUCCUAGCCUACUUUGGGCAACGCUGGUGGUACAGCACUGCUGGCACUGCAUGUGAGCUGCUGUGCUGGUACUGGGCUCCUUGGGCAGAGCGUGAUUCAGCCUUCAGUAUUACAGCAGUCAUUAUUCCAAAGGAGCCCGCAGUUUGGGACCAAACAGUGAUGGUCACAGAUACUGAAUCAACUGGAUAAAGCACCAGCCAAAUACAUUUCUGUGAAGAGUUUCAAAGUUGGUGUUUCCCACUGGAAAAAAUAUAGCACUUUUCAUCUCAUUCUACUCGACCCAGCAAACCGAGCUGGGCUCCAGGAGCGACACACAUCUGAAAUGUGCUGUGAGGUGCAGCCAUGCUCUCCCUGUCACUCAGGAAGCCCACUGCCGGGGCACAGCUGUGGGACAGGAGCUCAUGCCAGUGCCCAGCUGAUGAAGUGAAGGGACCGUGUGCUGCUGGCUCUGAAGUGAAAACAAUCACUCUGAAAUCUUAGAGCUUCCUCAGAAAUGUAAAAAAAAUGGGGUGGGAGCACAAGUUAAUUGUGCUUUUACACACUGUUAUACUUGUCACCGUGCCAGACUCUACAUUUCUUCCAAGGGUGAAAUGAAAACUCCAAAUUCAUCUGGUUAUGAAACAAUCUCAGUAUGAGCACUCAGUGAAGAAUUAUAAAGUGGGAAAGACACAGUCCUGUGUCUCAGCUGGUUGAGAAGGCUCUGAAUUGAUCAAGGCUUAUUCCAGCGUGGAGGAGUUUUCUGGAGUGUACUGAAACCAUUCUGCAUCUGCAUAUCAAAUGCAUAUAAAGAACCACAGAAAAGCUGAUGUGUUAUGACAUUACUUUGAUUAGGAGAUGAGGCAACUGGCAGAAGGCAUCACUGUAAUUCCAAGAAGUCUCAUUUCUCUGCAUCUAGAAAUUUAGGAAAUGAGUCUGGUUUGUCUGCUUUACACCAGAAUCGACUCAUACAUUGCAAACACGGCGAGAACUCAUUGGCACUAUAGGGUACUCCUGGAGAUAAGAUGGUGGUGAGAGACCUGGAUGAGCAAGGACUGAACACCUCUUUCUCUGCCUACAGUGUAUGGGAACUGUUGAGUCACAGCCUGAACCACUGAUUGAUCACCUGAGGGAAGGAGUGGGUAAGCUGUGGGGACACAGGUAAAGGCAAUUCAGCUAUGUGACUGUAAGGGUUGGAACAAGGUUCCACUCCUCCUAGACCCCAUUUAAGGGCUGACUGCCACUGGGGAAAGAGCUCUUUCUGGAGAUCGCUCCUUUGUGGAGUCUUUCAUUAUGAGCCUGAAUCUUUGGAUACAGGUGAACAUUCCUUCUCUGUCUGUUCCUUUGCCAUCUCGUUAUGAUACUCUUUCCAACUGUACAUUUGUUGACUGUACAUACAGUAAUGCAGCUGAGAUACUCGAAGCUAUUUGUAAGCUUAGCUGGAGACAGCCCUACUCUCUGUUAGUCAUGAGACUAAUGAAGCGCAGUGCGAAUUUAAAAUCAGGCUAACCCUUAUGUUUCUGUCCUCUGUGCUUCCAUGUGCUUCAUUGAGGCUGGAAGUAUAAGGUCAGUCCUGAUUAACAUCACCAUGAAAGGAGAACCAGUCCAAAAUAACAGUCUCAUUGGACAAGUAGUGUUUUAUUUUUAUUUUAUUUUUAUUGUUAUUAGAGAUAAGUCAAAGAGUCAAAGUACCUCAAGGCUAAAUCAAAACUGGAACCAAUCCACAUCAGAAACUUGAGUGUGCCUAAGGCUGGCACAUAGAACUAGUCUUGUAUAUACAUAAAUUCAUACCCUUCAAAAUACUUGGUAGUCUCACUCCUACUUGGGUGCUCAGCUCCCAUUGAUAAUGCCAUGUGUUAAUUCAGGCACCCAGGCUUUCGUGUAAUGUUCUUACUAUGAAGAACAGUUGGCCUUGAGGGAAAACAUUUACACAGAUGACACUAUUUUCAGGAAAAUGAAAAGUACUGGGUGAAAAAGAAAGUUUUGACACUGUGUGAGGUGUAGAGUUUACACACAGUAGUUUUUGUUGCAUGUAUAUGAAUGGGUGAUUGACCAUAUUUAAAUAAAAUAAAUUCACACACCAUUUGUAAGUGUCUAAUUUAUGUAUUUGUAGAGAGAAAUGGAAACCUUGGUUUGAAAAGCAGUUUGCGUAACAUCUGGUAUGUCAACAGUGUAACCUUCCAAUUUACUCACUGGUGAAAAUAUCAAUAGAACGAACCUGUAUUCAGC
rnacentral:lncRNA from 1 species